rnacentral:rRNA from 1 species
GCACGGGUGAGUAACGCGUAUCCAACCUGCCCAUCACUUGGGGAUAACCUUGCGAAAGUAAGACUAAUACCCAAUGAUAUCUCUAGAAGACAUCUGAAAAGAGAUUAAAGAUUUAUCGGUAAUGGAUGGGGAUGCGUCUGAAUAGCUUUGUUUGGCGGGGGUAACGGCCCACCAAGGCGACGAAUCAGUAGGGGUUCUGAGAGGAAAGGUCCCCCCACAUUUGGAAACUGAAGACACGGUCCAAACUCCCUACGGGGAAGGCAGCAGUGAGGAAAUAUUGGGUCAAUGGGGCGAAGAAGCCCUGAAACCAGCCAAGUAGCGUGCAGGAAGACGGCCCUAUGGGUUGUAACCUGCUUUUAUAAGGGAAUAAAGUGAGUCUCGUGAGACUUUUUGCAUGUACCUUAUGAAUAAGGACCGGCUAAUUCCGUGCCAGCAGCCGCGGUAAUACGGAAGGUCCGGGCGUUAUCCGGAUUUAUUGGGUUUAAAGGGAGCGUAGGCCGGAGAUUAAGCGUGUUGUGAAAUGUAGACGCUCAACGUCUGCACUGCAGCGCGAACUGGUUUCCUUGAGUACGCACAAAGUGGGCGGAAUUCGUGGUGUAGCGGUGAAAUGCUUAGAUAUCCAGAAAAAACUCCGAUUGCGAAGGCAGCUCACUGGAGCGCAAACUGACGCUGAAGCUCGAAAAGUGCGAGUAUCGAACAGGAUUAGAUACCCUGGUAGUCCGCACGGUAAGCGAUGGAUGCCCGCUGUUGGUCUGUAUAGGUCAGCGGCC